AUAAUAAUAUAUUAAUAUAUUUUAAUAAAAAAAAGAAAAAGUCUCGAAAAAAAAAUAAGACCGUUGAUAAAGCUGGCAUGUUGCAUGAACAUUCUGGAACCAGACCUUUAUUACUUUAUUACUACCAAAAAAAAAAUGAACGGUGAGAUGCUGAGAUUAAAAAUGGACGGUUAGAUUAGGAGAAGAAGUAAAACCUAAAACUAAACCUAGAGAAAACUCACUAGCACACACGCCUCAUUUGUCAUUUCCUCAUCUCUCUGAUAUUCUCAAACAUCUCUCUCUCUCCUAACCUCCUAACCCUAACUAUCUCCCUCUUCAUCUGAAUCUCUCAAGCUUUCUCAAAUUCUCAGUUCUCACGCCUAUGAAACUCUCAUUUCCUCAUCUGAUAUUUUCAUUUAGUCUUAAAAUUUCAGAUUUUUUUUUGGAAGGUCUAAUUCUUUUGUUCAUUUAUUCCGAAUUGAUUAAUUUCUGUUUUUUUUUUGUAGAUCUGUCAUAUACUCAUAUUCUACUCACGGCAAUAUAAGAUCUUUUUUCUGGAUAUUCUCAAACUUCGAAUUUUUCUGAUCUUUCAUAUUCUCUACUCACGGACGAUAUAAGUCAUGUCUUGCGAGUAUGAUGAAUUUGACUAUGAGAGGCAAUCAAAUUUUGAUACUGUUAGCUCUCAAGCUGCCUCUGUCCCACUCCCGGUUGAUGAUGCUAGUAAUACCGGCACUAUCAAUUCAAGGGGAACAUUUUGACGUUCUCAAGUAUUGAGAAUCUCAAGCUUCUUCUCUUCCUAUUUUAGCUAAUAUGGCAAGGGAUGUUUUGGCCAUUCCUAUUACAUCGGUGGCCUCUGAAUCUUCUUUUAGUUUGGGUGGUCGUAUUUUGAACAAAUAUAGGGGUAAACUUUUGCCAAAGAAUGUUGAGGCAUUGGUUACCACCCAAAAUUGGUGUCGUGGUUAUCAAGCGGAUGUUGAGGAAGACGUCCUCCUUAUUGGUAAAGAGAUUGAAGCCGAAAGUGCUUCAUCUGCAUAACUGGUAUUUGUGUCUCAUUGUGGUUUAUUUUAUCUUGAAAAAUCGUUGCCCUUGUCAUU